rnacentral:rRNA from 1 species
UACGGAAGGUGCAAGCGUUAAUCGGAAUUACUGGGCGUAAAGCGCGCGUAGGCGGCUUCGUAAGUCGGGUGUGAAAGCCCCGGGCUCAACCUGGGAAUGGCAUUUGGGACUGCAAGGCUUGAGUGCGGCAGAGGAGACUGGAAUUCCUGGUGUAGCAGUGAAAUGCGUAGAUAUCAGGAGGAAUACCGAUGGCGAAGGCAGGUCUCUGGGCUGACACUGACGCUCAUGCACGAAAGCGUGGGGAGCAAACAGG